rnacentral:tRNA from 2 species
GGUCCCGUAGCUCAGUUGGAUAGAGCAACGGCCUUCUAAGCCGCAGGUCACAGGUUCGAAUCCUGUCGGGAUCGCCA